rnacentral:tRNA from 1 species
GCCCAGUUAGCUCAGCUGGUUGAGCAUGGUGCUGAUAACACCAAGGUCAUGGGUUCGAUUCCCAUUUGGUCC